CCUAGAGGUUAGAGAGGGAUAUAGGUAACCUAGAGGAUAGAUAGGUAACCUAGAGGUUAGAGAGGGAUAUAGGUAACCUUGAAGUUAGAUAGGUAAUCUAGAGGUUAGAGAGGUAACCUAGAGGUUAGAGAGGGAUAUAGGUAACCUAGAGGUUCGAUAGGUAUAUAGGUAACCUUGAGGUUAGAUAGGUAACCUUGAGGUUAGAGAGGGAUAUAGGUAACCUUGAAGUUAGAUAGGUAAUCUAGAGGUUAGAGAGGGAUAUAGGUAACCUAGAGGUUAGAGAGGGAUAUAGGUAACCUUGAGGUUCGAUAGGUAAUCUGGAGAUUAGAGAGGUAACCUAGAGGUUAGAGAGGGAUAUAGGUAACCUAGAGGUUAGAGAGGUAACCUUGAGGUUAGAGAGGUAACCUAGAGAUUAGAGAGGGAUAUCGGUAACCUAGAGGUUAGAGAGGGAUAUAGGUAACCUUGAGGUUAGAGAGGUAACCUAGAGGUUAGAGAGGUUACCUAGAGAUUAGAUAGGUAACCUAGAGGUUAGAUAGGUAACCUUGAGGUUAGAGAGCUAACCUAGAGGUUAGAGAGCGAUAUAGGUAACCUAGAGGAUAGAUAGGUAACCUAGAGGUUAGAGAGGGAUAUAGGUAACCUAGAGGUUCGAUAGGUAUAUAGGUAACCUUGAGGUUAGAUAGGUAACCUUGAGGUUAGAGAGGGAUAUAGGUAACCUUGAAGUUAGAUAGGUAAUCUAGAGGUUAGAGAGGGAUAUAGGUAAUCUAGAGGUUAGAGAGGGAUAUAGGUAACCUUGAGGUUAGAUAGGUAAUCUGGAGGUUAGAGAGGUAACCUAGAGGUUAGAGAGGGAUAUAGGUAACCUAGAGGAUAGAGAGGUAAUCUGGAGAUUAGAGAGGGAUAUCGGUAACCUAGAGGUUAGAGAGAAAACCUUGAGGUUAGAGAGGUAACCUAGAGAUUAGAGAGGGAUAUCGGUAACCUAGAGGUUAGAGAGGGAUAUAGGUAACCUUGAGGUUAGAGAGGUUACCUAGAGGUUAGAUAGGUAACCUAGAGGUUAGAUAGGUAACCUAGAGGUUAGAUAGGUAACCUUGAGGUUAGAUAGGUAACCUUGAGGUUAGAGAGCUAACCUAGAGGUUAGAGAGGGAUAUAGGUAACCUAGAGGAUAGAUAGGUAACCUAGAGGUUAGAGAGGGAUAUAGGUAACCUUGAAGUUAGAUAGGUAAUCUAGAGGUUAGAGUGGGAUAUAGGUAACCUAGAGGUUAGAGAGGGAUAUAGGUAACCUUGAGGUUAGAUAGGUAACCUAGAGGUUAGAGAGGGAUAUAGGUAACCUAGAGGUUCGAUAGGUAUAUAGGUAACCUUGAGGUUAGAUAGGUAACCUUGAGGUUAGAGAGGGAUAUAGGUAACCUUGAAGUUAGAUAGGUAAUCUAGAGGUUAGAGAGGGAUAUAGGUAACCUAGAGGUUAGAGAGGGAUAUAGGUAACCUUGAGGUUCGAUAGGUAAUCUGGAGGUUAGAGAGGUAACCUAGAGGUUAGAGAGGUAACCUAGAGGUUAGAGAGGGAUAUAGGUAACCUAGAGGUUAGAGAGGUAACCUUGAGGUUAGAGAGGUAACCUAGAGAUUAGAGAGGGAUAUCGGUAACCUAGAGGUUAGAGAGGGAUAUAGGUAACCUUGAGGUUAGAGAGGUAACCUAGAGGUUAGAGAGGUUACCUAGAGGUUAGAUAGGUAACCUAGAGGUUAGAUAGGUAACCUAGAGGUUAGAUAGGUAACCUAGAGGUUAGAUAGGUAACCUUGAGGUUAAAGAGCUAACCUAGAGGUUAGAGAGGGAUAUAGGUAACCUAGAGGAUAGAUAGGUAACCUAGAGGUUAGAGAGGGAUAUAGGUAACCUUGAAGUUAGAUAGGUAAUCUAGAGGUUAGAGUGGGAUAUAGGUAACCUAGAGGUUAGAGAGGGAUAUAGGUAACCUUGAGGUUAGAUAGGUAACCUAGAGGUUAGAGAGGGAUAUAGGUAACCUUGAAGUUAGAUAGGUAAUCUAGAGGUUAGAUAGGUAAUCUAGAGGUUAGAGAGGUAACCUAGAGGUUAGAGAGGGAUAUAGGUAACCUAGAGGUUCGAUAGGUAUAUAGGUAACCUUGAGGUUAGAUAGGUAACCUUGAGGUUAGAGAGGGAUAUAGGUAACCUUGAAGUUAGAUAGGUAAUCUAGAGGUUAGAGAGGGAUAUAGGUAAUCUAGAGGUUAGAGAGGGAUAUAGGUAACCUUGAGGUUAGAUAGGUAAUCUGGAGGUUAGAGAGGUAACCUAGAGGUUAGAGAGGGAUAUAGGUAACCUAGAGGUUAGAGAGGUAAUCUGGAGAUUAGAGAGGGAUAUCGGUAACCUAGAGGUUAGAGAGGUAACCUAGAGGUUAGAGAGGUUACCUAGAGGUUAGAUAGGUAACCUAGAGGUUAGAUAGGUAACCUAGAGGUUAGAUAGGUAACCUUGAGGUUAGAUAGGUAACCUUGAGGUUAGAGAGCUAACCUAGAGGUUAGAGAGGGAUAUAGGUAACCUAGAGGAUAGAUAGGUAACCUAGAGGUUAGAGAGGGAUAUAGGUAACCUUGAAGUUAGAUAGGUAAUCUAGAGGUUAGAGUGGGAUAUAGGUAACCUAGUGGUUAGAGAGGGAUAUAGGUAACCUUGAGGUUAGAUAGGUAACCUAGAGGUUAGAGAGGGAUAUAGGUAACCUUGAAGUUAGAUAGGUCAUCUAGAGGUUAGAUAGGUAAUCUAGAGGUUAAAGAGAUAACCUAGAGGUUAGAGAGGGAUAUAGGUAACCUAGAGGUUCGAUAGGUAUAUAGGUAACCUUGAGGUUAGAUAGGUAACCUUGAGGUUAGAGAGGGAUAUAGGUAACCUUGAAGUUAGAUAGGUAAUCUAGAGGUUAGAGUGGGAUAUAGGUAACCUAGAGGUUAGAGAGGGAUAUAGGUAACCUUGAGGUUAGAUAGGUAAUCUGGAGAUUAGAGAGGGAUAUCGGUAACCUAGAGGUUAGAGAGGUAAUCUGGAGGUUAGAGAGGUAACCUAGAGGUUAGAGAGGGAUAUAGGUAACCUAGAGGUUAGAGAGGGAUAUAGAUAACUUUGAGGUUAGAGAGGGAUAUAGGUAACCUUGAGGUUAGAGAGGUACCCUAGAGGUUAGAGAGGUUACCUAGAGAUUAGAGACAGUGACUAGUAGCUAAAAGGUUGCUGGUUUAAAUCCAGAACCCGGAGAUGACAAGAGGGGAGGGAACUAGUAACGGGCCUCCAUUUUGGCCUUGAGCAUGGCACUUCAUCUGGUUAUAACUCUGCCUUCCUGCCUGCCUACCUGCCUACCCAUCUCUCUGUCGCUCUGUCUGUCUCUCUUUCUGUCUGUCUGCCUGCCUGUCUGCCUGUCUGCCUGCCUG